rnacentral:tRNA from 1 species
UCGCCUGCUGGUCAACGGCCGCGCGGCGCCGCUGGCGCCGACCGGACAGCUGGGCGAGGCGGUGGCCGGGGUCCGGUUCCGGGCCUGGCAGGCGGC